GCCUCUGUGGCACAAUGGAUAGCGCAUUGGACUUCUAGAUCAAUGACAGAUGAAGUCAUUCAAAGAUUGUGGGUUUGAGUCCCACCAGAGUCA
rfam:Chelonia mydas contig155146, whole genome shotgun sequence.